AGCAGCCGCGGUAAUUCCAGCUCCAAUAGCGUAUAUUAAAGUUGCUGCAGUUAAAAAGCUCGUAGUUAAAUUUCGGGACCAAUAUGUCGGUCGUGCCUCGGUACGUACUGGCAUCGUUGGUUUCUCCCUUCUGACGAACCAUGAUGUCAUUUAUUUGGUGUCGUGGGGAAUCAGGACUGUUACUUUGAAAAAAUUAGAGUGUUUAAAGCAGGCUCACGCUUGAAUACAUUAGCAUGGAAUAAUGAAAUAGGACGUUUGAUUCUAUUUUGUUGGUUUCUAGGAUCGACGUAAUGAUUAAUAGGGAUAGUUGGGGGCAUUAGUAUUCAAUUGUCAGAGGUGAAAUUCUUGGAUUUAUUGAAGACUAACUACUGCGAAAGCAUUUGCCAAGGAUGUUUUCAUUUAAAUCAAAGAACGAAAAGUUAGGGGGAUCGAAGACGAUCAGAUACCGUCGUAGUCUUAACCAUAAACUAUGCCGACUAGGGAUCGGAUGAUGUUAAUUUUUUAAUGUACUCAUUCGGC
rnacentral:rRNA from 1 species